UGGAGUCUUAUUAAAAUUAAUGUUGCUGGUGGUGUCAACACGCACGACUAUAUAUUGUACCACAAAGUUAGAUUUGUCUGUGUAGUACAUACAACUUACCUGUGAAGAAAAUUUUGAAAACUUGUGGAGGCUUUUGGCAGGAUUGUGUAUAUUGUAUUUUUUCCUGACAAUGUAUCCCAGGAACAUUUGCUUCCAAGUUUAGGCCCAUGUUUCUGACUUGGUUUUGGCAACACAAGAUAAGAUGCCGGUUGCUUACUUAGGCUUUGAAUGGUAUAACUGAAAGAAUAAGGCAAACUUCAUCACAUAGAAAGAGUGCUGAUAAUUGAGGUAAAUAGUCAUCCGAUUUCAGAACGGACAACGCUUUUGUUACUGAUUCAAUUAAUAUGCAAGGGCACCUAUACAUAAUGUAUCAAGAACUCCGGUAACUUUUUUUUCUAUAGAAAUAUUUAUUGUACAGUACAAUGUCUAGGUUGCUUUCCUGUACUGUAUAACACACGCAUCUCCCCAUGCAGUUAGAAUUCUUUCAAAAGAAAGCAGAAAUAGGAAUGUUUUAGCUACAUAAAUCUUCUCUGGUUUUUGCCGCAUGGUUAUUGGUGACUUGUCAUGAAAGCUAAGGCAUAAUCAGUCAUCAUAGUAAUCUUGUCAUGUGUUUUUAUCCUUGCUCAUU